UAUAAUUAAGUAUAGGAUGUACAUGAAUUUUUGGAAUUCGGGGAGCUAGUUUAAUUUUAGCAAUUGUAA
rnacentral:tRNA from 1 species